rnacentral:misc_RNA from 1 species
UGGGAAUCUUUGCCAUCUAAUUUUGCUAUGGAGAAUCUCGUUCAACUUGAAAUGCCUUUCAGCAAAGUUAAAGAGCUUUGGGGUGGAGUUAAGGUAUGCUUUAGCAUAAAUAACCUUUUCUUUCAAUGCUGGAGAUAAUUCCAUGGAUGUUUAUGUCACUGUUCGUUUCACCUAUGUUACAGCAUCUUCAAAAGUUAAAACAACUUGAUCUUCAUGAUUGUGAGCACCUGACAACACUCCCGGAUCUGUCUUCAGCUUUGAACUUAGAAAGGA